UACGGAAGGCAGCAGUGGGGAAUAUUGCACAAUGGGCGCAAGCCUGAUGCAGCCAUGCCGCGUGUAUGAAAAAGGCCUUCGGGUUGUAAAGUACUUUCAGUCGUGAGGAAGGUGUUAAGGUUAAUAACCUUAGCAAUUGACGUUAGCGACAGAAGAAGCACCGGCUAACUCCGUGCCAGCAGCCGCGGUAAUACGGAGGGUGCGAGCGUUAAUCGGAAUUACUGGGCGUAAAGGGCACGCAGGCGGUUAAUUAAGUUGGAUGUGAAAUCCCCGGGCUUAACCUGGGAAUGGCAUUCAAGACUGGUUAGCUAGAGUCUUGUAGAGGGGGUAGAAUUCCAUGUGUAGCGGUGAAAUGCGUAGAGAUGUGGAGGAAUCCGGUGGCGAAGGCGGCCCCUGGACAAAGACUGACGCUCAUGUGCGAAAGCGUGGGGAGCAAACAGGGAUUAGAUAC
rnacentral:rRNA from 1 species